AUGCAACUGAUCAGAGACCUAGUGACUGGUAAAAUUAGGAACACAGAAGGCAGCAUUUGGUGCCAAUGGACAUUGUUAAAUAAUCAGAGCUGGUUUUUUAAUCAGACACAGAACCGCAAGAAUGGCAUCAGUGGUGGUAGUGAUGAUGGUCACCUCUUCAAGAAGGAUCUUCCUGGGAGUCACCGUGUGCUAGGAUGUGGUCUGAGAGUGGUGGGAAAGAGAGAAAGUGGCCCCUUCCUGAAGUCAAAUCAUUGGUUCCAGAAGACUGCCUCCCACUGGGGACUACAGAGAAGAGAGAAAGGGCUUCAAGGAAGGACCCAGAGGACCAUAAGCAAGAUUAAAAUGGAAAUGAUAAACUGGAUAAAUAGUUGCAAUAAGUAGCACAAAGGGCUAACCUCCUUAAUGUGGAAAGAAGUCCUAGAAAUGGAGAAGACAAGAAUAAUCAGCCCGUAGAAAAAUGAGAAAAGCAAAUACACAUAGAGUGCACAGAAGGAAAAAGAGAAAUAAAAUGUCACUUUAAAAAAUGAAAUGAGGGUAC
rnacentral:lncRNA from 1 species